rnacentral:rRNA from 1 species
UACGAAGGGGGCGAGCGUUGUUCGGAUUUACUGGGCGUAAAGGGCGCGCAGGCGGCUCAUUUUGUCAGGCGUGAAAGCCCCGGGCUUAACCUGGGAACUGCGUUUGAGACGGAUGGGCUAGAGUUCGGGAGAGGAGAGUGGAAUUCCCAGUGUAGAGGUGAAAUUCGUAGAUAUUCGCAAGAACACCAGUGGCGAAGGCGGCUCACUGGCCCGGUACUGACGCUGAGGUGCGAAAGCGUGGGGAGCAAACAGG